GAUGAAGAACGUAGCGAAAUGCGAUAAGUAAUGUGAAUUGCAGAAUUCAGUGAAUCAUCGAAUCUUUGAACGCACAUUGCGCCCCCUGGUAUUCCGGGGGGCAUGCCUGUCCGAGCGUCAUUGCUGCCCUCAAGCACGGCUUGUGUGUUGGGCCUCCGUCCUCCUCCCGGGGGACGGGCCCGAAAGGCAGCGGCGGCACCGCGUCCGGUCCUCGAGCGUAUGGGGCUUCGUCACCCGCUCUUGUAGGCCCGGCCGGCGCUUGCCGACACAUCAAUCUUUUUUCCAGGUUGACCUCGGAUCAGGUAGGGAUACCCGCUGAACUUAAGCAUAUCAAUAAGCGAGGA
rnacentral:misc_RNA from 1 species